AGCGAACGCUGGCGGCAGGCCUAACACAUGCAAGUCGAACGAACUCUUCGGAGUUAGUGGCGGACGGGUGAGUAACACGUGGGAACGUGCCUUUAGGUUCGGAAUAACUCAGGGAAACUUGUGCUAAUACCGAAUGUGCCCUUCGGGGGAAAGAUUUAUCGCCUUUAGAGCGGCCCGCGUCUGAUUAGCUAGUUGGUGAGGUAAAGGCUCACCAAGGCGACGAUCAGUAGCUGGUCUGAGAGGAUGAUCAGCCACAUUGGGACUGAGACACGGCCCAAACCCCUACGGGAGGCCGCAGGGGGGAAUCUUGCGCAAGGGGCGAAAACCUGACGCCGCCAUGCCGCGUGAAUGAAGAAGGUCUUAGGAUUGUAAAAUUCUUUCCCCGGGGACGAUAAUGACGGUACCCGGAGAAGAAGCCCCGGCUAACUUCGU
rnacentral:rRNA from 1 species